AAAGUCGUAACAAGGUUUCCGUAGGUGAACCUGCGGAAGGAUCACUAAUAAAUAUGAGUGGGGUGGGUGUGUUGUGUUGGUGGGAAGCUGGGACGCGAGUCUUGGUGGAGUUCUGACACUGCAUGCUCAUUCAAACGCACUUACAUUGCGGCGGCGGCCGAAAGGCUGCUGUUGGUGGCAGCUAGGGUUGGGUGUGUGAUAAACAUAGUCAGCACUAGCACGUCACAUAUACGCACUUUAUGUUUGCGGGUUGACAAAUGACAUAUAACGAAUACAACUUUUAACAAUGGAUCUCUUGGCUCUC
rnacentral:misc_RNA from 1 species